CCAACAGGGAUUGCCUCAGUAACGGCGAGUGAAGCGGCAAAAGCUCAAAUUUGAAAUCCUUCGGGAGUUGUAAUUUGUAGGUUGGGAGACCCCGCGGCUAGUGGCACCAAGUCCCUUGGAACAGGGCGCCUUAGAGGGUGAGAGCCCCGUAGGUACCACAACACCGUCUUGUGUCUCCUCUCCAAAGAGUCGAGUUGUUUGGGAAUGCAGCUCAAAGUGGGUGGUAAAUUCCAUCUAAAGCUAAAUACCGGCGAGAGACCGAUAGCGAACAAGUACAGUGAUGGAAAGAUGAAAAGCACUUUGAAAAGAGAGUGAAACAGUACGUGAAAUUGUUGAAAGGGAAGGGCUUGCAAGCAGACACGGCCUUCGUGCCGGGCCAGCAUCGGUUGCUAGGGGUGGAUAAGGAACAAGGAAUGUAGCUCCUCGGAGUAUUAUAGCCUUGCGCGAUACACCCACUGGCGACCGAGGCCUGCGGUAUUCCUACCUAGGAUGCUGGCGUAAUGGUUGCAAGCCGCCCGUCUUGAAACAACGGACACAAAA
rnacentral:rRNA from 1 species